ensembl:rRNA 5S_rRNA 5S ribosomal RNA
CCUUACGGCCAUACCAGCCUGGGUACGCCCGAUCUCAUCUGAUCUCGGAAGCAAAGCAGGGUCGGGCCUGGUUAGUACUUGGAUGGGAGACUACCUGGGAAUACCAGGUGCUGUAAGCA